GAAGAAGAAGAUGCAUCGUUAUGAUUUACGACGAGAAGAUUGUUUGUGUUUCCAGAAGCGUUGGGUAUCUUUAGAGAGAUGAGAAUUGAAGGAGUUAAAUUGGAAUUGCAUGACUGUAUCUUACUCAUUGCUGGUGCUCCACUUGGUGAAGAAUUGAAGGGGAUUUUGAUUCAUGUGUGAAGGUGGGAACCCGUUCUGCGUUACUCAACUUUGGAUCACCAUUGGAUGCAUCUCAGCUAUAUAAAUUACUCCAUGCCCUUCAUCCACAUCCUCAUUAGAAGAAAAAUUAGCAGGCAGAGGUGCACCUGGAACAUAUUUGUACUCUACCUGGAAGCAGUGCAGCAAAUAUGUACUCGAAUUUGU